CACAUGCAGUCGAGCGAAGCACUUAUGAUGAUCCUUCGGGUGAUUUAUUUGUGACUGAGCGGCGGACGGGUGAGUAACGCGUGAGUAACCUGCCUCAUACAGGGGAAUAACAGUUAGAAAUGACUGCUAAUGCCGCAUAAGCGCACAGGGCCGCAUGGCCCGGUGUGAAAAACUCCGGUGGUAUGAGAUGGACUCGCGUCUGAUUAGCUAGUUGGCAGGGUAACGGCCUACCAAGGCGACGAUCAGUAGCCGGCCUGAGAGGGUGAACGGCCACAUUGGGACUGAGACACGGCCCAAACUCCUACGGGAGGCAGCAGUGGGGAAUAUUGCACAAUGGGGGAAACCCUGAUGCAGCGACGCCGCGUGAGUGAAGAAGUAUUUCGGUAUGUAAAGCUCUAUCAGCAGGGAAGAAAAUGACGGUACCUGACUAAGAAGCCCCGGCUAACUACGUGCCAGCAGCCGCGGUAAUACGUAGGGGGCAAGCGUUAUCCGGAUUUACUGGGUGUAAAGGGAGCGUAGACGGCUUUGCAAGUCUGACGUGAAACUCCGGGGCUCAACUCCGGAACUGCGUUGGAAACUGUAAGGCUUGAGUGCCGGAGAGGUAAGCGGAAUUCCUAGUGUAGCGGUGAAAUGCGUAGAUAUUAGGAGGAACACCAGUGGCGAAGGCGGCUUACUGGACGGCAACUGACGUUGAGGCUCGAAAGCGUGGGGAGCAAACAGGAUUAGAUACCCUGGUAGUCCACGCGGUAAACGAUGAAUACUAGGUGUUGGGGGACAAAGUCCUUCGGUGCCGCCGCAAACGCAUUAAGUAUUCCACCUGGGGAGUACGUUCGCAAGAAUGAAACUCAAAGGAAUUGACGGGGACCCG
rnacentral:rRNA from 1 species